GUAGGGGUGAUUCAGUGGUAGAAUUAUCGCCUUCCAUGCAGGAGCCCUGGGUUCGAUUCCUGGCCGGUGCA
rnacentral:tRNA from 1 species